UUCGGGUUAAGUCCCGCAACGAGCGCAACCCUUGUCUUUAAUUGCCAUCAUUCAGUUGGGCACUUUAAAGAGACUGCCGGUGUUAAACCGGAGGAAGGUGGGGAUGACGUCAAGUCCUCAUGGCCUUUAUGCCCAGGGCUACACACGUGCUACAAUGGGUGGUACAAAGGGUCGCGAACCCGCGAGGGGGAGGCCAAUCCCAAAAAGCCGCUCUCAGUUCGGAUUGCAGGCUGCAACUCGCCUGCAUGAAGCCGGAAUCGCUAGUAAUCGCGGAUCAGCAUGCCGCGGUCGAAUACGUUCCCGGGCCUU
rnacentral:rRNA from 1 species